UUGAACGCUGGCGGCAUGCUUUACACAUGCAAGUCGAACGGCAGCGCGGGGGCAACCCUGGCGGCGAGUGGCGAACGGGUGAGUAAUGCAUCGGAACGUAUCCUGUAAUGGGGGAUAACGUAGCGAAAGUUACGCUAAUACCGCAUACGCUCGAGAGAGGAAAGUGGGGGAUCGCAAGACCUCACGUUAUAGGAGCGGCCGAUGCCCGAUUAGCUAGUUGGUGGGGUAAAGGCCUACCAAGGCGACGAUCGGUAGCUGGUCUGAGAGGGAUGAUCAGCCACACUGGGACUGAGACACGGCCCAGACUCCUACGGGAGGCAGCAGUGGGGAAUUUUUGGACAAUGGGCGAAAGCCUGAUCCAGCCAUGCCGCGUGCGGGAAGAAGGCCUUCGGGUUGUAAACCGCUUUAGUCCGGGAAAAAGGGGUGCGAGGAUAAUACCCUUGUGCUUUGAUGGUACUGGAAGAAUAAGCACCGGCUAACUACGUG
rnacentral:rRNA from 1 species